AGAGUUUGAUCCUGGCUCAGGACGAACGCUGGCGGCGUGCCUAACACAUGCAAGUCGAACGGAGAAUUUCAAAGAGCUUGCUUAGCGAAAUUUUUAGUGGCGGACGGGUGAGUAACGCGUGGGUAACCUACCCAUAAACCCGGGACAACCCUUGGAAACGAGGGCUAAUACCGGAUAAACUUUUGACUUGGCAUCAAGUCUUAAGAAAAGGUGGCCUCUGAAGAUGCUACCGAUUAUGGAUGGACCCGCGUCUGAUUAGCUAGUUGGUGGGGUAAAGGCCUACCAAGGCGACGAUCAGUAGCCGGCCUGAGAGGGUGAACGGCCACACUGGGAGUGAGACACGGCCCAGACUCCUACGGGAGGCAGCAGUGGGGAAUCUUCCGCAAUGGACGAAAGUCUGACGGAGCAACGCCGCGUGUAUGAUGAAGGUCUUCGGAUUGU
rnacentral:rRNA from 1 species